rnacentral:rRNA from 1 species
UACGUAGGGGGCUAGCGUUUCCCGGAAUUAUUGGGCGUAAAGCGCGCGUAGGCGGCCCGGUAAGUCCGCUGUGAAAGCCCGGGGCUCAACCCCGGGAGGCCGGUGGAUACUGCCGGGCUAGAGUCCGGAAGAGGCGGGUGGAAUUCCCGGUGUAGCGGUGAAAUGCGCAGAUAUCGGGAGGAACACCGAUGGCGAAGGCAGCCCGCUGGGACGGUACUGACGCUGAGGCGCGAAAGCGUGGGGAGCGAACAGG